ACGGGAGGCAGCAGUAGGGAAUAUUGCACAAUGGGGGAAACCCUGAUGUAGCAACGCCACGUGUGGGAAGAAGCAUUUCGGUGUGUAAACUACUGUCGUGAAGGAAUAAUGCCUGGUUUCGGCCAGGUUGAAUGUACUUUGAAAGGAAGCACCGGCAAACUUCGUGCCAGCAGCCGCGGUAAUACGAGGGGUGCAAGCGUUGUUCGGAAUCACUGGGCGUAAAGGGAGCGCAGGCGGAAGUGCAAGCGGUCUGUACAAUACCGGGGCCCAACCCCGGACCUGCAGACCGGACUGCAUUUCUUGGAUAGUUCAGGGGCAAGCGGAAUUCCUGGUGUAGCGGUGGAAUGCGUAGAGAUCAAGAAGAACACCGAUGGCGAAGGCAGCUUGCUGGGGACUUAUCGACGCUCAUGCUCGAAAGUGCGGGUAGCAAACAGGAUUAGAUACCCUGGUA
rnacentral:rRNA from 1 species